CUGUAAUGCUACAAGGCCCUCGCAAAACAGGCAUGGCGUGAAUAUUUACUGGGAGAAGGGGACUGUAAAGUAAUUACCCAGACAACUAGAACUAACGAGACUUCCACAUCGUACAGAUCGUUCCUAAUUUCUAAUUUAAAAUCGCUCCUAUCGACCGGUAAACGUUUUCCAAAGUUGCUGCAUUAUCACUAUAGUAUGGGUCAAACAGAUAACACGCACUCAUUUUCGUUUUAAUUUUAAAGAAGAAUAACCCACGAGUGUAUUAAAGCGAUAAAUUACUAUAAUUUAAUGUCAGAAAAUGUAUUCAAGUUUCCGGUGACGUAACAUCUGUCUGUCACUUGCCAUAUUUGUACGAUGUACUGGAAAUUACAAGUUGUUAUUUUGUGUAUAAAAUACAUUCGAUUAAUUAUCUUGAUUAGAAACGUGGAAAAAAUACAUCUGUUUAUGAAAGAACGUCGAAGUACUCAAAAAAAUUCCAGACCGAUGAACGUAUAAAGACUAAUUUUAGCAUCGGUAUCCUGUGAGGUCUGCAAACAUAUUGACAGGAAGAAAGUCGUUACAGUAAUUCAUUAUUUUAUUUUAGGUAAACAGUUUUGAUUUGCAUAAAGAAGGGGUAGGGUCCAUGAAUACUUUUGUAUACUUUAACUACGUUUAGUAUAUCGUAUUCUUAAUUACACACUAUUUUUUAAUUUUUUUUAACGGUAUAUUAGUUAAUAAAAAAAAUAAAUAAAUUUAAAUACCUGAAUGACGCGCCAAAUGUCACAUGACUGAGUGUGACGUAGAAAGUAACAUAAAUAACGUAAUUAAAACAUAACCUUCAAAGCUAUCAUCUUCGCGACGAGAUUUUAAUGAGGUUCAUGAAAACAAAUGUGAUAAUGACUAUAAGAGAUUCUAAUUAGUAGUGCUUACGUAUCUGCUUUUACUCCUCGUAUUUCAGCCGAAGUAAAUAAUUGAUUAUUAGUAAAGAACGUAGCAACCAUGAAUGUAUCUACUUUAGGUAGAUUGCUGCUUCGAUAAAUCCUAUUUCGGCCAUCAUUUCAAUUAGAAUAGUCUUUGAAAACUCAAAUCGCACUAAAAAACCAAUUACCUCCACUUACAACAACAGAAUGACGUUUGACAGGCGACAGGCGGCGACGACGUUUUAGUAUUUGCUUACUUUCUACGUCACAACCGCAGUAACCAAUAGAAACAUGUUUUCUGUCACGUGGUAUUAUUCAAAUUAUCAUCAUUUUAUAUUUGCGAUUUGUAACGAUUAAUACAGUGUGUCUACUUAAGCUGGAACCAUAUGAAAAACUUUUUUAUUAGUGGUUUUAUGAAAAAAAGUUGAAAUGCAGCCAUCAGAUAUCAAUUUUUUAAAGCAGUAUACGAGGUUUGUCACAAAAUUUGAUUCAGUAAAGUUUUUUUGAAUCAAACUUAUAUCCAAAUAUGCAAUUACAGCCAUUUAUUAUGAAAAUUCAGAUUUUGUGAUUAUUUAAUUAUUCUGGUUCGAUACAAUUUAUCUUUAUCACCUGUUAAAAAUAUGAUUAACCUUUCUAUUUAUUACUGUUUUUGAAUAACCUUACAUUUUACGUAAUGAAUGGUUCUCGCAGAUAAACCUGCUGUUUUAAGUAACCCCAUAAAAAAAGUCAAGGGGAAUCAACUCAGUAGUCCUACGAGGCCAACAAAUAUCUGAAUACCUCCGAAGCAACUUCCCAUUAAACAUAUUUUCAAGGAGUACUCUAACGUUUAAUGUACUAUGGAUGGAAGCACCGUCUUGUUGGAACCAAAUUGUCUCAAACACCACAUUUUUCUGAUUUGUAAAAAAUAAAAA